rnacentral:rRNA from 1 species
AACGAACGCUGGCGGCAUGCCUAACACAUGCAAGUCGAACGAGACCUUCGUGUCUAGUGGCGCACGGGUGCGUAACGCGUGGGAACCUGCCCUUAGGUUCGGAAUAACUCCCCGAAAGGGGUGCUAAUACCGGAUAAUGUCUUCGGACCAAAGAUUUAUCGCAUUUGGAUGGGCCCGCGUUGGAUUAGCUAGUUGGUAGGGUAAAAGCCUACCAAGGCGACGAUCCAUAGCUGGUCUGAGAGGAUGAUCAGCCACACUGGGACUGAGACACGGCCCAGACUCCUACGGGAGGCAGCAGUGGGGAAUAUUGGACAAUGGGCGAAAGCCUGAUCCAGCAAUGCCGCGUGAGUGAUGAAGGCCUUAGGGUUGUAAAGCUCUUUUACCCGGGAUGAUAAUGACAGUACCGGGAGAAUAAGCUCCGGCUAACUCCGU